GGUUAUGUGGGUUAGCUUGGAGGAUUUCCUUGGCUUCAGAGAAGGCCUGGAGCUCAGCUAGCACAAUUAUUUUUUGCAGGUGGCACAUUUUCCAAGAUAUCACACAAGUGGGUGACUGCACACAUCUGCCAGCAGUUCUGGGAUGGUUGGCAACUUUCCCUUUCAGAUGAUGUUGUUUGGCAUCAUAGCCCCAGCCUCACGCAGGAGGAAGGCCGUGGCAGCAGAGUGUCAGUGCAUGGUGUAGGUGCCCAGCAGUGUGUGCCACUGGCUUCAGGCCCAUUGCAUGAAGUCAGCCAAUUCUCUACCAUCCUCACUGGGAACUUGUAAAGCGACUGCAAUGUUUUCCAUACUUUGUAGUACCCAGCUUCAGAGUUUGUCAGGACCAAAGCAGCUGUGCGAAUGUGUCGUCGUCCCUGAUUAGGCACUUCUGAUGUCGGAAGCGCGUUCAGACUCCUAAGCUGAAGAAAGUCAGGUAAAGUGAAGCGAUGGAAGUUUGUUAAUGUAUUUAAAUGAAAUGCGGGAUAAAUUUCCCAGCUGGAAAGAAGAAUCAAACAACUUCUUUUUGAUAGCAUUAUGAAAAAUACUUUAUGUUCCUUUUUCCAGCAGCUACCUUUUAAUUGUAAACAAUUCAACACAUCAAAAACGAUUUAGGAUUGUUCUUGAAUCUAAUAAAAUGAGUGAAAAUGUUGCGUUUUUACUGCUG
rnacentral:lncRNA from 1 species